CCGUGCCCAGCGACACCUGUCACUUUCCCAGGUUGCUCCAAGCUGGCCUUAAGCACUUCCAGGGAUUCAGGGGCAGGCACGACUUCUCUGGGAAUUCCAUCCCAGCCCCUCGCCACCUUCCCAGCCAGGAAUUGCUCCUCAAUAUUCAAUUUAUCCUCAAUGUCCCAUUUAACCCUGUCCUCGGCAGUGGGAAGCCAAGUCCCUGUCCGUGCUGAAACACAUCCAGGAGGUUCCCACACAAAGUGGACACUGAAAUUUCAGGGGUUUAAAAUUCCCACACACACUUUCAGUGUCUUCCAUUUGGGAAAAAAACAGACUGGACAUGGAGAAAGGUGCCUGAAAGUCAUUAGGAAAGGACUUUUCCUUCCUGAUAUCCCAUCUAACCCAUCUCUCUGGCAUUCCUGUGUCCUGUCCCUCCAUCCCCUGUCCCCAGCCCCUCUCCAGCUCUCCUGGCUCCCUUCAGGCCCUGGAAGGAACUCUGAGCUCUCCCUGCAUCCUUCCCUUCCCCAGCUGAACACUCCCAGAGCUGAUAUUCCUCAGACAGAACAUUUUUGAUGCAAAGGAAGAACAGACAAUGGGCUGCUCCUGCCAUUGAAGAUGGAGGAGGACAGGGAACUCCAUGACCCCAUCCAGCAGCGUUUUCUGAGGUAACCCAGCUUCCAGGCAUUCAGCAGAACACAAAGAUUUUGCAGCAGAAAAGAGCCCACCCAGAGCCCCCCUGGAAGGGCUGGUGAGCAGGAGCAAUGCUCACUGCUUAAUAAAACAUUAAGUUUUUAAAUAAAACACCUCAGAAUAUCAA